GGUCCAAACUCCUACGGGAGGCAGCAGUGGGAAUAUUGGGCAAUGGGGGAAACCCUGACCCAGCAACGCCGCGUGAAGGAAGAAGGUCUUCGGAUCGUAAACUUCUAUCCUCGGUGAAGAGGAGAAGACGGUAGCCGAGAAGGAAGCCCCGGCUAACUACGUGCCAGCAGCCGCGGUAAUACGUAGGGGGCAAGCGUUGUCCGGAAUGAUUGGGCGUAAAGGGCGUGUAGGCGGCUAAGUAAGUCUGGAGUGAAAGUCCUGCUUUUAAGGUGGGAAUUGCUUUGGAUACUGCAUAGCUAGAGUGCAGGAGAGGUAAGUGGAAUUCCCAGUGUAGCGGUGAAAUGCGUAGAGAUUGGGAGGAACACCAGUGGCGAAGGCGACUUACUGGACUGUAACUGACGCUGAGGCGCGAAAGUGUGGGGAGCAAACAGGAUUAGAUACCCUGGUAGUCCACACUGUAAACGAUGAAUGCUAGGUGUAGGUGGUAUCGACCCCAUCUGUGCCGGAGUAAACACAAUAAGCAUUCCGCCUGGGGAGUACGGCCGCAAGGUUGAAACUCAAAGGAAUUGACGGGGGCCCGCACAAGCAGCGGAGCAUGUGGUUUAAUUCGAAGCAACGCGAAGAACCUUACCAGGUCUUGACAUCCAGUAAAGCCUGCAGAGAUGCAGGGUGUCUUCGGACAUACUGAGACAGGUGGUGCAUGGUUGUCGUCAGCUCGUGUCGUGAGAUGUUGGGUUAAGUCCCGCAACGAGCGCAACCCUUAUGAUUAGUUACUAACGGGUAAAGCCGAGGACUCUAAUGAGACUGCCGGGGACAACUCGGAGGAAGGUGGGGACGACGUCAAAUCAUCAUGCCCCUUAUGACCUGGGCUACACACGUGCUACAAUGGCCACUACAAAGAGGAGCGAGCCCGUAAGGGGGAGCGGAUCUCAAAAAAGUGGUCCCAGUUCGGAUUGUGGGCUGCAACCCGCCCACAUGAAGUCGGAGUUGCUAGUAAUCGCGGAUCAGCAUGCCGCGGUGAAUACGUUCCCGGGCCCUGUACACACCGCCCGUCACACCAUGGGAGUUGGGAGUGCCCAAAGUCGGCGAGGUAACCGCAAGGAGCCAGCCGCCUAAGGCAAGACCAAUGACUGGGGUGAAGUCGUAACAAGGUAGCCGUAUCGGAAGGUGCGGCUG
rnacentral:rRNA from 1 species